AUCCAGCUAACGAGUCCCAAAUUGGAUGAAACUCAUUUCCUGGAU
rnacentral:hammerhead_ribozyme from 1 species